GCAUGGGUGGCCUAGUGUGUUAGCGCGUCGGCCUCUCACACCGCUGUGGCCCAGGUUCGAAUCCUGGCUCAAACU
rnacentral:tRNA from 1 species